rnacentral:snRNA from 1 species
UAAACUCUCAAAAUUGUAACCGAU